UGAACCAGCGGAAGGAUCAUUACUGAGUUACCGCUCUACAACCCUU
rnacentral:rRNA from 1 species